AGAUUAUGAUGUGGGCAUUUCCUUAACAAGUCAUUGAAUCUCUCCCACGCCUCAAACAGUGAUUCGGUGUCCAACUGUUCAUAACUUGUAAUCUCCUGACGCAACUU